UUACCACUCUGGCCUUAUUGGCUUAGAUCAAGUGUAGUAUCUGUUCUUAAUAGUUUAACCACUAUUAUGGAGGCACCACCUCCAUACCUGGUUAUCUAAUUUUUGCCGCCCCUUCUUCUCCCGCUCUGCUUGCAACUUGGGAAGUGCGAUGACCUUGCUACUGCAAUGCCGGCUUGUGUCGUUGGGGGAUC
rnacentral:snRNA from 1 species